UACAGAGGUCCCGAGCGUUGUUCGGAUUCACUGGGCGUAAAGGGUGCGUAGGUGGCUUAGUAAGUUUGAUGUGAAAGCUCAGGGCUUAACCCUGAAAUGGCAUUGAAUACUGCUGUGCUGGAGGUUUGGAGGGGGGACUGGAAUUCUUGGUGGAGCAGUGAAAUGCGUAGAUAUCAAGAGGAACACCAGUGGCGAAGGCGAGUCCCUGGACAACACCUGACACUGAGGCACGAAAGCUAGGGGAGCAAACAGG
rnacentral:rRNA from 1 species